CCCCGAUCCCAUAAAUAUCCUCAUAAUUGAUGAACAUGACAGAGUAUGAAAUGUACAUUUUAAACAAUUAAAUUCAACAUCAACACAAUCCUGUGGGUCCCAAAAAUAUCGGUAUGUGGCCUAAUCAUGAUCUUCAAUACAAGUCUCAUCUCAAUUUCCUAACAAGUUGAGAAUAUUUGGAUAAUAACAUGAUUCUUUAAUUUUACAACUCCACAGAAUUUAUUUAAGUCACAAUUUCUAUAUUGCACGCCCACACGCCUGUCAUAUAGCAUGUGCGUCAGCUUCAUACAAUUCACAUAACACGAAAUUCAGGGAUUUAUACCUUCAGAACCAAGUUUGGAAGAGUUACUUACCUCAAACCGUGUAAUUCCUUACUCCGCUAUGCCUUUGCCUCGCAAAUUGAUCUCUAAAAUCCUCGUAUCUAAUCAUAAUUAAUUCGACCUAGUCAAUACAAAUUAUUGGAAUUAAUUUCAUAUGAAAAUACUAAUUUUCCAACAUAAUCCGAAAUAAAACU
rnacentral:lncRNA from 1 species